GUAAAUAUAGUCUAAAAAAAGAUAUUAGAUUGUGAAUCUAAUGACAAAAGCUCAAACCUUUUUAUUUACC
rnacentral:tRNA from 1 species